AAGGCUUUAGCUUAAAUAAAGCGUCUGGGUUGCAUUCAGAAGAUGUUAGGUAUAGUCUUGCAGGCCUUA
rnacentral:tRNA from 1 species